CAGCAUGUUUCCAAGGGCUGUGGCUGGUGGCAGCCAUGGGAUCUCCAACUGCACGAGAGCAACCUGGAGAGACAGACAGCUCGGGUCAGCAUAAUAUCUGCAGCUGCCACUCACCUUGCCUAUAAUA